rnacentral:rRNA from 1 species
UACAUGGGGUGCAAACGUUGCUCGGAAUUAUUGGGCGUAAAGCGCGCGUAGGCGGUUACUUAAGUCGGAUGUGAAAGCCCUCGGCUUAACUGAGGAAGUGCACCCGAAACUGAGUAGCUAGAGUACGAAAGAGGGUCGCGGAAUUCCCGGUGUAGAGGUGAAAUUCGUAGAUAUUCGGAAGAACACCAGUGGCGAAGGCGGCUUCCUGGCCUGUUCUUGACGCUGAGGCGCGAAAGCUAGGGGAGCAAACGGGAUUGAGAAACCCCA